ensembl:lncRNA
UGAAAUAUUGCUGAAACUGCAGCAGCAAGAUACAUAUUUCGGUCAACGUACUCCAUACAGUUUGACAACGUAAUCAACAAACUCGUAUUAGCUGGACAAUAACAGUGGGAAAGUGAACGUAAAUACGGCCUAGAAAUGGAUCUGUAGCGACAUCUGAUGGAGUAACACAAUAAUGCAUAGUAUGUGGUUCAUAUUGCUGCUCAUCUUGUUCAGUCUGGAUUUUCCCCUUCCAUUAUGGCUGUUCAAAGCAGCAAACAAGUUAGACUAGUCAUGUGUUGAUCCAGGUGCAAUAACAUACCCAUAAAGCUCUAGGUCACGUUCAGGUAACUGUCAACUAGCCUAACUGCGAACUCAGUCACACCCCUCCAGUUUUUUUUUUUUUUGGUGAAUGAGUGGGAUGAUGAAGUAGGCGGGUCUUAAAGAAAAGAAAUUCACGAGUGAUUCAUCGAUUUCACUUCACUUUUCUCAAGCGAUCUGACACGCGUGGUUCUUCUGCAGCGGAAAUAUAUACCAAAGGACAACCAUGAAGACCUUGGCAUUGCUGACACUUCUGCUGAUCAUGAAUGGUUCUGCAGUGGGAAAAAUGAUGAAAUCUAAUGAGGAGGGCUUUGUUGGACAGGAUGUACUUUUGUCAUUCAACUGUUCUAAUGUCCCAAAAGAACUGAUAUGGCAGAAAGGUGAGAGAGUAGUGAAUGCUCAUUCGGAUGACAAAAUCAUCAUCGAUGAUUCCUACGUAGAUAGGACGCAACUCUUCCUAAACAAGGAGAAGAGAAACUGCUCCCUGCUGCUCCGUAACGUCUCUUCAACAGACGCAGGGCUGUACACCUCUCAUGCCUUAGUCAGUGUUGGUGACAACGUCUGGUCAAGGAGCACAUUAGAAGUUAAUCUAACAGUGUCUGAAAUGAAGAACAGCCCUGAAACAAAAGGCCAAACUGGAGGCAGUUCUGUCACAGCUGUCUCUAUUAGUGUUCCCAUAUUGGUAGUAGCGCUUAUACUGGCUGCUAGCCUGCUUCUAACCCUACUGAUCAGAAGACGACAUCGGCCUAACACGGACACUGAAUUACAGGCUGGGAGACCAAUGCUGGAGAACACCAAUGCUGUGUGAAGUUCUCUUGCUUGAGAGUUUAAGGGACUAACUUCUAUGUUGUAAUGCAAGGUCCUUCACAACAACAAUGGAUAAUAGGAGGCCUUAGCCCUAAACAAAUGCGUUUGCAUAUGGGCAUCCCACAGUGGUGCGUGCCGAUCCGUCUCACUUCGAGACAGAUCAAUGUGCAGUCUUCAGUUGUAACACUGUUUGAUAUAUACCACUGAACUGUGAAUAUACCCUGAAUAUACAUUCUGUAGGCAUUACAGUUUUGUAACUUAACAAGAUUCUCCUUGUAGGAACUGUCUUUAUUCAUUCUUUGAAGAACAGAUGUAAAAGUAGGGGAUGUGCAGUUUAUAUUUACCCUUUUUCCUUUUUCCACAUUGGUGGUCUCAAUCCUAAACAGGCUUUUCAAAUCACCUUAUUUUAAUGUUCAUAUGUGUACAGCAAUCAGUUACUAAGCACACAUCAUGUAAGCUUUUUUACAUUUACUCCUGUAUGGGUUGAUUUCCUCAGCCUGUGCUGAUUUUCAUUUAUGUGGAAGAAAUAUGUGGCACUCCCUAUGGGAUAUGUUUGCUUUUUUUACUAUACUAAAUGUCAUUUACUUUUAAAUGAAUUUUGUAAAGUGCUUCAAACCUGCAGAGGCAAUAAACCUUUUACAUAUACAGUUUUGUUUUCUUUU